UGCGCCUUGCCAGCCCGCUCAGAACUUAAAUGAAUUGACGGGGGCCCGCACAAGCGGAGGAGCAUGUGGUUUAAUUCGAUGAUACGCAGGAACCUUACCUGGGCUUAAAUGCUUAAUGACGUACUGGGAAACUGGUAUUUCUUCGGACAUUUUGCAAGGUGCUGCAUGGUUGUCGUCAGCUCGUGCCGUGAGGUGUCGGGUUAAGUCCCAUAACGAGCGCAACCCCUAUUGUUAGUUGCCAUCAGGUCAUGCUGGGGACUCUAACAAAACUGCCCGCGUAAGCGUGGAGGAAGGUGGGGAUGACGUCAAAUCAGCACGGCCCUUACGUCCAGGGCUACACACGUGCUACAAUGGCCGGUACAGAGGGCAGCCACUUGGUGACAAGGAGCAAAUCUCAAAAGCCGGUCUCAGUUCGGAUCGGAGUCUGCAACUCGACUCCGUGAAGUUGGAUUCGCUAGUAAUCGUAGAUCAGCAAUGCUACGGUGAAUACGUUCCCGGGCCUU
rnacentral:rRNA from 1 species